AUGGGGUGCAGCAGGCGCGGAACCUCCGCAAUACACGAAAGUGUGACGGGGUUACCCAAAGUGUUCUUAUUGAACUGUGGCAGGUGAGUAAUGUCCCCUGCUAGAAAGGAGAGGGCAAGGCUGGUGCCAGCCGCCGCGGUAAAACCAGCUCUUCAAGUGGUCGGGAUAAUUAUUGGGCUUAAAGCGUCCGUAGCCGGUUUAGUAAGUUCCUGGUAAAAUCAGGUAGCUUAACUAUCUGUAUGCUAGGAAUACUGCUAUACUAGAGGGCGGGAGAGGUCUGAGGUACUACAGGGGUAGGGGUGAAAUCUUAUAAUCCUUGUAGGACCACCAGUGGCGAAGGCGUCAGACUGGAACGCGCCUGACGGUGAGGGACGAAAGCCAGGGGAGCGAACCGGAUUAGAUACCCGGGUAGUCCUGGCCGUAAACGAUGCAUACUAGGUGAUGGUACGGCCAUGAGCCGUGUCAGUGCCGUAGGGAAACCGUUGAGUGUGCCGCCUGGGAAGUACGGUCGCAAGGCUAAAACUUAAAGGAAUUGGCGGGGGAGCAC
rnacentral:rRNA from 1 species